rnacentral:rRNA from 1 species
AAUAUUGCACAAUGGGGGAAACCCUGAUGCAGCGACGCCGCGUGAGCGAAGAAGGCCUUCGGGUCGUAAAGCUCUGUCCUAAGGGAAAAAACGGACGGUACCCUAGGAGGACGCACCGGCUAACUACGCGCAAGCAGCCGCGGUAAUACGUAGGGGGCUAGCGUUAUCCGGAAUUACUGGGCGUAAAGGGUGCGUAGGCGGCCUUUUAAGUCAGAUGUGAAAGGCUACGGCUUAACCGUAGUUAGCAUUUGAAACUAGAAGGCCUGAGUGCAGGAGAGGAGAGUGGAAUUCCUAGUGUAGCGGUGAAAUGCGUAGAUAUUAGGAGGAACACCAGUGGCGAAGGCGACUCUCUGGACUGCAACUGACGCUGAGGCACGAAAGCGUGGGGAGCAAAC